rnacentral:rRNA from 1 species
AUUGAACGCUGGCGGCAUGCCUUACACAUGCAAGUCGAACGGUAACAGGUCUUCGGAUGCUGACGAGUGGCGAACGGGUGAGUAAUACAUCGGAACGUGCCUAGUAGUGGGGGAUAACUACUCGAAAGAGUGGCUAAUACCGCAUGAGAUCUACGGAUGAAAGCAGGGGAUCGCAAGACCUUGUGCUACUAGAGCGGCCGAUGACAGAUUAGGUAGUUGGUGGGAUGAAAGCUUACCAAGCCGACGAUCUGUAGCUGGUCGGAGAGGACGAUCAGCCACACUGGGACUGAGACACGGCCCAGACUCCUACGGGAGGCAGCAGUGGGGAAUUUUGGACAAUGGGCGCAAGCCUGAUCCAGCAAUGCCGCGUGCAGGAUGAAGGCCUUCGGGUUGUAAACUGCUUUUGUACGGAACGAAAAGCCCUGGGUUAAUACCCUGGGGUCAUGACGGUACCGUAAGAAUAAGCACCGGCUAACUACGUGCCAGCAGCCGCCGUAAAAC